rnacentral:ncRNA from 1 species
ACAAUGAUACUUCUGCUUAGCCACAAUCUCAAAUAAUGGGAGCAGUUCUGUGCGAACCACAGGAAGGUGAGAUACCUAUG